AAGGCCGUCCUUCGGCAACGGUGUCUGCUCUGCUUGGGCUUUGUUGCGCUUCGGAUCGUCGUUUUGCCCAAUUCGGAGGUUUGCUGUUAGUUAAGGACCUUCGAUAGAGACAACGGCGGGGUCGGAGGCCGACCGUGGAAUUUUUUUAGAGCCCAGACAGUUUGGUGGGGCAUUAGUGCGGAUUUUGGCAGUGUUCGUUAUUUUGGGAGGUUUGAGGGAGUGCUUCUGCUUUGCGGUGGUGGAGAGAAUUGAAGAGGAGAAGCUGGGUUCUUACAACGUUCAAUUGAGGGGCAUUUUGUGCUGUUAGGCUCGCGGAAGGUUGGAUCUGAAGAGCUGGAGGUUUGUAGGAGCAGUGGCGUUGGCUGAAGGCGUUCGGGUUGAGAUGCUUGUGAGGGUAGGAAAAUCCUGUUGGGGAGUUGGGGUGACGGCGUGACUGGAAUAGCGAGCUGGUAUCGCGUGGAGCAUACAUCAUAUCAUUUGUUCUCUCACCUAUAAAGUUUAUAGCCAUGAGUCUCGGGUGUUUGACAUGCAAUGCCUCUACUCAAUCACUCCGGAUAGAGGACACGUUUCAACGGUCAUUAUCGACACACUCUGAAGAAGGUGGGGCUUGCCUGAUUGGGUGCUUUUCACGAAGGCCCGUUCAUCAUCACGGCUCUGCAGAACCAGCUCACCCCCAGGGUUCUAGGGUUGCUCCGAUAUCUGACGAUGACUGUGCACCGAGGUUGACACGAUGCUAUGCUAUCCGUAGGGAUUGCACAUUCUUCAGGGAUUGGUCGCUUAGCGAAGUUGAGACAGCUACCCUAGUUGGUUAGAUUCUCACUGAGGAGUCAGAGGAAGAUACUGCAGCUGAUCUCUGUUGAAGUUAUAUGUUGGAUCCUGGAGGGGUUUGAGUGGGUGGGGUGGGAGCUACAUCUCAUUGAAGAUCCUGAUGGCUGGGGCACAUCAAUCGUUCAGCGAGAACAUUUGGUGGGAGAUUCUUUUCUUUUCGCCGCUUGACUAGCAAGCACUCUGUCCAUGUUAGUGCAUGGGCUUGAGUUUCUUGUGUUGCAUGACUCAUUCUAAGGAGUGUCGUGUGAGAGGCGGUGGCAAGUAUCUGGGUACGCUGCCGAGCGCUACAUUAUGACUUUGUACCAUAUUUUCUUUGUACUGUACAUGAAAAGUUGUGUAUCUGAGAUGGUUCUGCACGA